UAAAUUUUAGUUUAAUUAAAAUUUAAUAUUUACAAUAUUAAGAUAUAAUUAUAUUUAUAAAUUUUU
rnacentral:tRNA from 1 species